AGAACGAACGCUGGCGGCAUGCCUAAUACAUGCAAGUCGAACGAACACUUCGGUGUUAGUGGCGCACGGGUGCGUAACGCGUGGGAAUCUGCCCUUGGGUUCGGAAUAACAGUUGGAAACGACUGCUAAUACCGGAUGAUGACGAAAGUCCAAAGAUUUAUCGCCCAGGGAUGAGCCCGCGUAGGAUUAGCUAGUUGGUGAGGUAAAGGCUCACCAAGGCGACGAUCCUUAGCUGGUCUGAGAGGAUGAUCAGCCACACUGGGACUGAGACACGGCCCAGACUCCUACGGGAGCAGCAGUAGGGAAUAUUGGACAAUGGGCGCAAGCCUGAUCCAGCAAUGCCGCGUGAGUGAUGAAGGCCUUAGGGUUGUAAAGCUCUUUACCGAGAUGAUAAUGACAGUAUCGGAAGAAUAAGCCCCGACUAACUCCGUGCCAGCAGCCGAC
rnacentral:rRNA from 1 species